CCAAAACUGUCACAUGGCCUUCACUUAUUCCUUUUUCCUAUGUUUUAUCCCCUUUUUGCAUUUCCAGCUCCUUGUAAACCAGACCAAGUGUCUGUGAGUUUGCAGUGCAGCACUAACGUGGCAUUGAUCACCUGGGAGCACUCAGGCCCUGACCAGACUCAGGAGGUCACAGCGACAGACAGUAGAGGACUCACAGCUACCUGCUACUCCAGCGGCUCCAACUGCACCUUCAACCAGCUGAGCUGUGGAAAGACGUAUGCCAUCAGUGUGGUAGGCCACACCAACUCAUGCAGCAGUGAGCCGGCUGUCGCCCAGGUGCUCCAAACAGCCCCGUGCGUUCCCACCCACGUCGUAGCGAUCGUAAACUGUGAUGUCAAUAUUACCAUGGUUACGUGGGAUUCAGCGCUUGGGGCCACAUCAUACACCGUCUAUGCCCGGGGUAGCCUUGGCCACACUUCUAAAUGCAACAGCACCAGCAGUAGCACUGAGUGCAACUUCUUUGACCUGGGGUGUGGGCAGGAUUACAACAUAACCGUGGUGGCCUUUCAUGACACCUGUUCCAGUCUGGUUAGUGAGACCAUCACUGUGACCACAGGUAAAAACAGAACCACACAAAAAAUAAACACUGCACCAAUGACAUCACCAUAGGGUUAAAACAAUGGCCUAAAAAAAAAGAGCCAUAUGCUUGCUGGGCAACAUUUGGAAGAGUUUGAUGUAAAAAUAAAAGCAAAUCCACAAAUGUUAAACAUUAACUUUGGAAAAACGUUUGUAUUCAUGCUUGAAAUUAAAUUAUCUCUCAGUAUUUUUCUGUGUCACAGAAAAAGUACAUCUUUGUUGAUGUUAGACAUUUAGCUUAAUGCUCACUUUUAUGGAAAUGUUCAUUAGUUUUGACAUAAACAGCAUUUAAUUAGAACUUUAAAGAAAGCUAUACCUAAAAUUAAUUCAUUUUUCUCUUUACUAUCCAGGUCCUUGUCCUUAUAGUGGUUUGAAGGCCACACUAGACUGUAAAACAAACACAGUUGAGGUUACUUGGACUCCUGGCAGAGGGAUCCUUUAUUAUGAUGCCAAAGCCAAACCAUUUAACAGUGUUCAAACACAGGGGUGCUCAAGCAAUGGUUCUUCGUGUAACAUUAGCUCUUUGCAAUGUGGAGAAACAUACAGCGUUAGUGUCACCGGACAUGGAGGAAAUUGUCCCAGCCCUUCAAACUUUUGGCGCAAAAUUAUAACAGGUAUGUUCCUUUUUAUUUUUGGUCUGGGUUUACAUUGUUUGACGAUAUUUGUAAGUGAUCUGCCUAACGUUUCUCCUGCUCUUCUCCAGCUCCGUGUCCUCCCACCAACAUGAGGAUAGACUCUUCCUGUGAAUCCAACAACAUCACCGUUUCAUGGGAGGCUUCGCAAGGAUCAGACUCCUACAUGGCAGUGGCAGAAAACACAAAAGGCGACCAGUGGUCCUGUAACACCAGCAGUACCACCUGCCAAAUACCUGAUCUGCUGUGUGGCCAGGAGUACAAGGUCUUUGUUGCUGGUAUAGAUGAGAACUGCUUCGGAGCCAGGAGUGACAUGAAAAUUAUUCACACAGGUACAUUUAUUAAUUUGAGCCAUAUUUGCUUACAUAUUAAGUUUAGUUUGAGUAGAAGCUCAAUUACAAAUAACCAAUAAAAAAAAACAAAUUCUGGUCUAUAGCACACUGUAUUUCUCAUAGAAGCUACUAUAUUCUGCUGGACGUGCUUAAAUUAAGAAUUCAAUGGCAAGAACAAACUGCACAACCAAUGCAUAUGAAUCAAAGCUUUAAUCAGUUGCAGUUGAAGUUUAGAUGGUCACACUGAUUUAAAGAAUCUAUUUUAUACCUGCAUACACGUGCAGAUUUUUUGCACAUGGUUUUGACUUUUCUACUUCUAAUUAUUAUGUGAUGUCCAUUCCUUUGCACUUUAA
rnacentral:lncRNA from 1 species